UACAGAGGGUGCGAGCGUUAAUCGGAAUUACUGGGCGUAAAGCGUGCGUAGGCGGUUAUUUAAGUCGGGUGUGAAAGCCCCGGGCUCAACCUGGGAAUUGCAUUCGAGACUGAAUAGCUAGGGUACGGUAGAGGGAAGCGGAAUUUCCGGUGUAGCGGUGAAAUGCGUAGAUAUCGGAAGGAACAUCAGUGGCGAAAGCGGGUUCCUGGACCAGUACCGACGCUCAGGCACGAAAGCGUGGGGAGCAAACAGG
rnacentral:rRNA from 1 species